GUAGGUGGCAAGCGUUGUCCGGAAUUAUUGGGCGUAAAGCGCGCGCAGGGCGGUCCUUUAAGUCUGAUGUGAAAGCCCACGGCUCAACCGUGGAGGGUCAUUGGAAACUGGGGGACUUGAGUACAGAAGAGGAAAGCGGAAUUCCAAGUGUAGCGGUGAAAUGCGUAGAGAUUUGGAGGAACACCAGUGGCGAAGGCGGCUUUCUGGUCUGUAACUGACGCUGAGGCGCGAAAGCGUGGGGAGCAAACGGGAUUAGAUACCCUGGUAGUCCACGCCGUAAACGAUGAGUGCUAAGUGUUAGGGGGUUUCCGCCCCUUAGUGCUGCAGCUAACGCAUUAAGCACUCCGCCUGGGGAGUACGGCCGCAAAGGCUG
rnacentral:rRNA from 1 species